UACAGAGGGUGCAAACGUUGUUCGGAAUCACUGGGCGUAAAGCGGGUGUAGGCGGCAAGGCAAGUCGGAUGUGAAAUCCCAGGGCUCAACCCUGGAAGUGCACUCGAAACUGCCUAGCUAGAGUCCUGGAGAGGAAGGUGGAAUGCUUGGUGUAGAGGUGAAAUUCGUAGAUAUCAAGCGGAACACCGGUGGCGAAGGCGGCCUUCUGGACAGUGACUGACGCUGAGACCCGAAAGCGUGGGGAGCAAAC
rnacentral:rRNA from 1 species